rnacentral:rRNA from 1 species
GUGGGGAAUCUUGCGCAAUGGGCGAAAGCCUGACGCAGCCAUGCCGCGUGAAUGAUGAAGGUCUUAGGAUUGUAAAAUUCUUUCACCGGGGACGAUAAUGACGGUACCCGGAGAAGAAGCUCCGGCUAACUUCGUGCCAGCAGCCGCGGUAAUACGAAGGGGGCUAGCGUUGCUCGGAAUUACUGGGCGUAAAGGGCGCGUAGGCGGACAGCUUAGUCAGAGGUGAAAGCCCAGGGCUCAACCUUGGAAUUGCCUUUGAUACUGGCUGUCUUGAGUUUGGGAGAGGUGAGUGGAACUCCGAGUGUAGAGGUGAAAUUCGUAGAUAUUCGGAAGAACACCAGUGGCGAAGGCGACUCACUGGCCCGUUACUGACGCUGAGGCGCGAAAGCGUGGGGAGCAAACAGGAUUAGAUACCCCGGUAGUCC